GGAUCUUGAGAGCGGCGUACGGGUGCGGAACACGUGUGCAACCUGCCUUUAUCUGGGGGAUAGCCUUUCGAAAGGAAGAUUAAUACCCCAUAAUAUAAGAAACGGCAUCGUUUUUUAUUGAAAACUCCGGUGGAUAGAGAUGGGCACGCGCAAGAUUAGAUAGUUGGUGAGGUAACGGCUCACCAAGUCUACGAUCUUUAGGGGGCCUGAGAGGGUGAUCCCCCACACUGGUACUGAGACACGGACCAGACUCCUACGGGAGGCAGCAGUGAGGAAUAUUGGACAAUGGGUGAGAGCCUGAUCCAGCCAUCCCGCGUGAAGGACGACUGCCCUAUGGGUUGUAAACUUCUUUUGUAUAGGGAUAAACCUACCCUCGUGAGGGUAGCUGAAGGUACUAUACGAAUAAGCACCGGCUAACUCCGUGCCAGCAGCCGCGGUAAUACGGAGGGUGCAAGCGUUAUCCGGAUUUAUUGGGUUUAAAGGGUCCGUAGGCGGAUUUGUAAGUCAGUGGUGAAAUCUCACAGCUUAACUGUGAAACUGCCAUUGAUACUGCAAGUCUUGAGUGUUGUUGAAGUAGCUGGAAUAAGUAGUGUAGCGGUGAAAUGCAUAGAUAUUACUUAGAACACCAAUUGCGAAGGCAGGUUACUAAGCAACAACUGACGCUGAUGGACGAAAGCGUGGGGAGCGAACAGGAUUAGAUACCCUGGUAGUCCACGCCGUAAACGAUGCUAACUCGUUUUUGGGUUUUUAAGAUUCAGAGACUAAGCGAAAGUGAUAAGUUAGCCACCUGGGGAGUACGUUCGCAAGAAUGAAACUCAAAGGAAUUGACGGGGGCCCGCACAAGCGGUGGAUUAUGUGGUUUAAUUCGAUGAUACGCGAGGAACCUUACCAAGGCUUAAAUGGGAAAUGACAGGUUUAGAAAUAGACUUUUCUUCGGACAUUUUUCAAGGUGCUGCAUGGUUGUCGUCAGCUCGUGCCGUGAGGUGUUAGGUUAAGUCCUGCAACGAGCGCAACCCCUGUCACUAGUUGCCAUCAUUAAGUUGGGGACUCUAGUGAGACUGCCUACGCAAGUAGAGAGGAAGGUGGGGAUGACGUCAAAUCAUCACGGCCCUUACGCCUUGGGCCACACACGUAAUACAAUGGCCGGUACAGAGGGCAGCUACACAGCGAUGUGAUGCAAAUCUCGAAAGCCGGUCUCAGUUCGGAUUGGAGUCUGCAACUCGACUCUAUGAAGCUGGAAUCGCUAGUAAUCGCGCAUCAGCCAUGGCGCGGUGAAUACGUUCCCGGGCCUUGUACACACCGCCCGUCAAGCCAUGGAAGUCUGGGGUACCUGAAGUCGGUGACCGUAACAGGAGCUGCC
rnacentral:rRNA from 1 species